CAUCCCUCCUUUGUGCUUCACAUCAUUAUAUCUGGGAAAGAAAGAAAAAAGAAUGACUAUCUUUGUUUUAUUUUAUUUUGAUUGCAUUUGAUAUUCUUAAAUUAUUUAUAGCCUGCUUUUCUAAGCAAAAAGCGCCUUCAAACACCAAUAACCAGUGUUUGUGUCAUCAAACAAAAAUAGCUUUAUAUAAAGACAGUAGCUGGGGCAAACCCCAGUUGUGUCCAAUUGUUGACAAAAUGGGAUGUGCCCCUGAGAAAAUCCUCUGAGGCCCAACUUCAAGUCUACUUUGAACCCUGGUGUUUGUGUGUGUGUGUGUGUGUUUGUUUUAGAACAGAUCUUUAAAGGACAAACACUGGUCAUACCCUAAGCAGUUUAUGUAUGAUAAGGUGACCAAUUUGUAAAUCUCUAUAUUUGAUUGAUGCCAGUCCGAUCCAUUGCUUGUGAUGUGACGUAUUUGUAUUUGAUGUGACGAUUCGUCAAGGCUCGAUACAGUAUGGCAAGACACGAUUAUGAGAUGCAUGCGCUCUGCAUAGGAGAAUUGUUUUGAGAGAGUAUGCCACGCGCAAGAGUGUGCCGUGUGCAAGUGGCUUUGUUUACUUCUUACCGAAACACGACAUGGCACACAGGCAUGCAUUGCUCACUUCUUUCUCAGCGAAUAUUCAAUCAUACACAGGGCCUCUUGUGGCUCAACAGGCUAAUGCAGUCUGUUAUUAACACAGCUGCCUGCAAUUACAAGUACUGCAGGUUCGAGUCCCACCAGGCCCAAGGUUGACUCAGACUUCCAUCCUUUAUAAGCCUAACACAGCAGAGCAAAAAUCAAAGAAACAGAUUGGCUUUGAAGAUGGUUGAUGAAAAGGCAAAAACUGGCCAGGAAAGAAAAAUAACAACAUUCAAUUAUGUCGAUAUUGUUGAUUUAUUCGUAGAUUAAGGACAGUUUCUUCCACCGUAUUUGUAGCUUCAAGUAUACUUGAGUAGUUUUUUUAAAAAAAAAAUCUAAUACAUAUUAAACAGUAUUUUUUUUUUAUUUGCAUUUAUAUCCCGCCCUUCUCCGAAGACUCAGGGUGGCUUACAUUGUGUUAAGCAAUAGUCUUCAUCCAUUUGUAUAUUAUAUACAAAGUCAACUUAUUGCCCCCAAC